CCUCCUCCAACCCAAAGAAAUACAGCUUUUGAGGAGAAAGUGUUGACUGCCCUUCAAGGUUUGGAGGCAAACACACAACUAUUGCACUCUCACAUGCAAUCAAUUGCUAAGCUAGAAUCCCAAAUAGGUCAACUAGCCAAUGCAUUAAACAGGCGAGAGGAAGGUAAGCUUUCAAGUCAACCAAUGAGUAAUCCUAGGGGACAAUACGUGGCUCAAGA
rnacentral:lncRNA from 1 species